rnacentral:rRNA from 1 species
UACGAAGGGGGCUAGCGUUGUUCGGAAUCACUGGGCGUAAAGGGCGCGUAGGCGGCCAGCACAAGUCAGUUGUGAAAUCUCCGAGCUUAACUCGGAACGGUCAACUGAUACUGUGCGGCUAGAGUGCGGAAGGGGCAACUGGAAUUCUUGGUGUAGCGGUGAAAUGCGUAGAUAUCAAGAGGAACACCUGCGGCGAAGGCGGGUUGCUGGGCCGACACUGACGCUGAGGCGCGAAAGCCAGGGGAGCGAACGGG